UGCCCUGUACACACGGAUAACAUACCGAAAGGUAUGCUAAUACGGGAUAACAUAAGAAAUUCGCAUGUUUUUCUUAUCAAAGCUCCGGCGGUACAGGAUGGACCCGCGUCUGAUUAGCUAGUUGGUGAGGUAACGGCUCACCAAGGCGACGAUCAGUAGCCGACCUGAGAGGGUGAUCGGCCACAUUGGAACUGAGACACGGUCCAAACUCCUACGGGAGGCAGCAGUGGGGAAUAUUGCACAAUGGGCGAAAGCCUGAUGCAGCAACGCCGCGUGAGCGAUGAAGGCCUUCGGGUCGUAAAGCUCUGUCCUCAAGGAAGAUAAUGACGGUACUUGAGGAGGAAGCCCCGGCUAACUACGUGCCAGCAGCCGCGGUAAUACGUAGGGGGCUAGCGUUAUCCGGAUUUACUGGGCGUAAAGGGUGCGUAGGCGGUCUUUUAAGUCAGGAGUGAAAGGCUACGGCUCAACCGUAGUAAGCUCUUGAAACUGGAGGACUUGAGUGCAGGAGAGGAGAGUGGAAUUCCUAGUGUAGCGGUGAAAUGCGUAGAUAUUAGGAGGAACACCAGUAGCGAAGGCGGCUCUCUGGACUGUAACUGACGCUGAGGCACGAAAGCGUGGGGAGCAAACAGGAUUAGAUACCCUGGUAGUCCACGCCGUAAACGAUGAGUACUAGCUGUCGGAGGUUACCCCCUUCGGUGGCGCAG
rnacentral:rRNA from 1 species